rnacentral:rRNA from 1 species
ACGAACGCUGGCGGCACGCUUAACACAUGCAAGUCGAACGAGAGAAGAGAAGCUUGCUUUUCUGAUCUAGUGGCGGACGGGUGAGUAACACGUGAGCAAUCUGCCUUUCAGAGGGGGAUACCGAUUGGAAACGAUCGUUAAUACCGCAUAACAUAAUUGAACCGCAUGAUUUGAUUAUCAAAGAUUUAUCGCUGAAAGAUGAGCUCGCGUCUGAUUAGCUAGUUGGUAAGGUAACGGCUUACCAAGGCGACGAUCAGUAGCCGGACUGAGAGGUUGAUCGGCCACAUUGGGACUGAGACACGGCCCAGACUCCUACGGGAGGCAGCAGUGGGGAAUAUUGCACAAUGGAGGAAACUCUGAUGCAGCGAUGCCGCGUGAGGGAAGAAGGUUUUAGGAUUGUAAACCUCUGUCUUCAGGGACGAAAAAAGACGGUACCUGAGGAGGAAGCUCCGGCUAACUACGUGCCAGCAGCCGCGGUAAUACGUAGGGAGCGAGCGUUGUCCGGAAUUACUGGGUGUAAAGGGAGCGUAGGCGGGAUCGCAAGUCAGAUGUGAAAACUAUGGGCUUAACCCAUAAACUGCAUUUGAAACUGUGGUUCUUGAGUGAAGUAGAGGUAAGCGGAAUUCCUAGUGUAGCGGUGAAAUGCGUAGAUAUUAGGAGGAACAUCAGUGGCGAAGGCGGCUUACUGGGCUUUAACUGACGCUGAGGCUCGAAAGCGUGGGGAGCAAACAGGAUUAGAUACCCUGGUAGUCCACGCCGUAAACGAUGAUUACUAGGUGUGGGGGGACUGACCCCUUCCGUGCCGCAGCAAGCGCAAUAAGUAAUCCACCUGGGGAGUACGACCGCAAGGUUGAAACUCAAAGGAAUUGACGGGGGCCCGCACAAGCAGUGGAGUAUGUGGAUUAGUUCGAAGCAACGCGAAGAACCUUACCAGGUCUUGACAUCGUAUGCAUAGCUCAGAGAUGAGUGAAAUCUCUUCGGAGACAUAUAGACAGGUGGUGCAUGGUUGUCGUCAGCUCGUGUCGUGAGAUGUUGGGUUAAGUCCCGCAACGAGCGCAACCCUUACUGUUAGUUGCUACGCAAGAGCACUCUAGCAGGACUGCCGUUGACAAAACGGAGGAAGGUGGGGAUGACGUCAAAUCAUCAUGCCCCUUAUGACCUGGGCCUCACACGUACUACAAUGGCUGUUAACAGAGGGAUGCAAAGCCGCGAGGUGGAGCGAACCCCUAAAAGCAGUCUUAGUUCGGAUUGUAGGCUGCAACCCGCCUACAUGAAGUCGGAAUUGCUAGUAAUCGCAGAUCAGCAUGCUGCGGUGAAUACGUUCCCGGGCCUUGUACACACCGCCCGUCACGCCAUGGGAGUCGGUAACACCCGAAGCCUGUAGUCUAACCGCAAGGAGGACGCAGUCGAAGGUGGGAUUGAUGACUGGGGUG